GAUGAAGAACGUAGCGAAAUGCGAUAAGUAAUGUGAAUUGCAGAAUUCAGUGAAUCAUCGAAUCUUUGAACGCACAUUGCGCCCGCCAGCAUUCUGGCGGGCAUGCCUGUUCGAGCGUCAUUUCAACCCUCGAGCCCCCCCGGGGGCCUCGGUGUUGGGGGACGGCACACCAGCCGCCCCCGAAAUGCAGUGGCGACCCCGCCGCAGCCUCCCCUGCGUAGUAGCACACACCUCGCACCGGAGCGCGGAGGCGGUCACGCCGUAAAACGCCCAACUUUCUUAGAGUUGACCUCGGAUCAGGUAGGAAUACCCGCUGAACUUAAGCAUAUCAAAAGCGGAGGA
rnacentral:misc_RNA from 1 species